AUUGAACGCUGGCGGCAGGCUUAACACAUGCAAGUCGAGCGGGGAAAGGUAGCUUGCUGCCUGACCUAGCGGCGGACGGGUGAGUAAUGCUUAGGAAUCUGCCUAUUAGUGGGGGACAACAUCUCGAAAGGGAUGCUAAUACCGCAUACGUCCUACGGGAGAAAGCAGGGGACCUUCGGGCCUUGCGCUAAUAGAUGAGCCUAAGUCGGAUUAGCUAGUUGGUGGGGUAAAGGCCUACCAAGGCGACGAUCUGUAGCGGGUCUGAGAGGAUGAUCCGCCACACUGGGACUGAGACACGGCCCAGACUCCUACGGGAGGCAGCAGUGGGGAAUAUUGGACAAUGGGGGGAACCCUGAUCCAGCCAUGCCGCGUGUGUGAAGAAGGCCUUUUGGUUGUAAAGCACUUUAAGCGAGGAGGAGGCUACCGAGAUUAAUACUCUUGGAUAGUGGACGUUACUCGCAGAAUAAGCACCGGCUAACUCUGUG
rnacentral:rRNA from 1 species